UGGCACUUGCCAAAAAUGAAACCGAAACGGCAGAGAUUAGUAAAUCAUUGAAAGUCUUUGAGGUAAUAAGAAA
rnacentral:ncRNA from 1 species